UUUUUCAUUGAAUAAAUUAUGCUUUCUACUUUCCUAUUUCCCUGGGGCUCUUGAAGAAUCCAUAUGCGUUCAGCAGGAGUGUGAGGAUUCUGGAAGCACAGGGCUAUGGGCAGCUUCAGAGACCAAGCGGGUGAAGACAGGAAGGAGGCAAACCUGUUCUCAUCAGAGAUACAGUUCCAAGCUCCUUCCCCAGGACUGAUGGUUCAUUCAAACAGAGGCUGACAAGCACUGUGGAAGAUGGGGAAAUUGAAGGGAGAGAUGGACCAACAUGCCUAAAUUUCCAUAGCCGGUCUGGAACUAGGGACAUGAAGUCUGGUGUUUUUCCGGCUAUGACUCACAGCUUCUUUGCCUUGGACAUCUUGGGAUGUUUCUGGACAGUGAGGUCAUUUGGUUUGUGAGGCGGCAGUAGGAUGAUCCAUGGGGAGAACAUUCAUCUAGUCGCUCCUGCACUGUGUGAGCUGGUUGGCAGGUGUGUCUAUAGAGAAGAGUGGAGAGAGCUGGCAGGACUUUGAAGGACAAAAGGGAACAUUGCAGAAAGCACCUUCAUUUGUCCUUUUGCUUGGUCAGAGGGCCCUGUCUAAUAGAAGUUUCACAUAAUAAGGGUACAUUAAUAUAAAUGGGAAAUAAAUAAGCAAUAACCACAACAUGCACAUUUUAGGAUCACCUUGAAAGAAAGUUCGUAGGAUUUCCCCAGGGGCUGUAGAAGGAGGGAGAGCUGGAGCCUGUCCUGGAGAUACUCUUCCUCCAAGCUCUGCCUUAUUUCUCAGAGCAAUAUGUCCCCCAGCCCCAUUCCAAGGCUCUGCAUCUGUUCUCCCUGACACUCAUUUCAGGCUCUUGGGAGAAACCUGUCCUCUGACACUCACCAUGGCCCUGGGUGGCCCCUUCCUCUUGUGAAUGGUGGCACUAAUGAGGGUGACAUUUUCACUUACCCUCCUGUUGGCUUUGUCUUCCUUCAACAGCCUGGGCCUGGUCUCCUGGGAUACCUAAUUAAAAGGCUGAGAGUGCUUUUACCAAUAGUCAUGUUUGGAGCUGAGUACUGUAUCUCUAUGAAAAAAAAGUUGCAGCUUUGGACGUGUCCCAGAGGUCUACAUUCUAUGAGGUAAUAUAUGCCACAUCCAGUAGACUAUAAGCAAACCAAUUCUGACAUCAGAGGGUGUUAUGCACAGAGUGAUAAUGGAUGAUUUUAAUGAAACCCUAACUGCAUUAAUUUGUUCAUUUGAUUAACUUAUUAAACAUGAUCUGCUUUCUACAGUUCAGUACUAUAGCUACAUGCCAAAUAACAACAUUUUAGUCAACAGCAGACUAUAUAUAUACAUAUAUAUAUAUAUAUAAAACAGUGGUUCUGUAAGAUUAUAAUGGAGCUGAAAAUUCCUGUCACUUAGUGAUCUUGUAGCCAUUGUAAUGUCACAGAGCAAUGCAUUACUAAUGUGUUUGUAACAGUGCUGGUGAAAACAAAUCUCUUGUGCUGCCUGUUGUAGAAAAGUGUAGAGCAUACAAUUAUGUCCAGUACAUAAUAUUUGAUGAUGAUAAUAAACAGUUACGUUUCUGUUUUUGUAUUUACUGUAC